CCCGCCACUGUGCCUGUCUUCCUAUGACUGAGCAUAGUCCAGUGGAGGCUAAUAAAGACCCAGCUCUAGGAAGCAGGGCCACCCAAACUGAUGGGUGACUCUGUGCCGAAAGAACCUGGAACAAAA
ensembl:snoRNA